GCCAAUCACAUCAACCUAUAGUUGUUCGUGAAUAUGAGGAGGAAGAAGAAAGUCUACCGACAAUGGAAGACCUUGCCAUUGAUAGUACUCCCACUAACACCGCCGCCACUACUUCUUCAGCGACUGCCACUUCAUCAAUGCAGUCAACUAACUUCACUUAGAUCUUAAUGAUGUCCUGACGGAAAAAGAGAGGAGUCGAAGCGAAGUCACCCAACAACUUUCAAGUCAUUAUAUGGACUUUGGAUUUAUAAGCAUUUUUUAGUAUUGAGACAUUACUAUGGACUUUAUGGACUUUAGAUUUUCAUUUUAUGGACUUUAUAGAUUUUAUGGACUUUAUGGACUUUAGAUAUGGAUAUUGGAUAUGGAUGUAUUUUGAAAUAUUUUAGUUUUCACUUUUAUCAUGAUUCAUGAACAUGAAUAUGAACUUUGAUUUGAUUUGAUGAACAGGUUGUUUGUUUGUUGGUUGGAUUGAUUAAUGCAUAUUUUCUUCAAUAGUAUAUAAACAAAUUGUUAUAUUUAUAUAUGCUUAAUUUAAUAAAUAAAAAA